rnacentral:lncRNA from 1 species
AAGUUCAUAUCAACGAAAAUAUAAUGUAGUUUAGAUAAUACAUGUACUUGGGUUUUAAGGUAUAAAUUUGAAAUCAUACCCAUUUGAUCCGUGAGCGCUAGAUUAGCUUGGACACGAGUAUGUGGGGCAGGCAACAUUUGCCCAUGAGUUUGCCUUUCUUGUACAACCCCAUUGGAUACUCGUCUACCCACUUGAGUUCUAGUUGUCGUACCUAAAAGAUAAAAUUAUAUAUAAUUAUUUAAUAAGAGAAAUUACAUACAUAUAAUAUAUUUUAUGGUUAUGCAUAAUCUUACUAUGUAGCUGGCGCACUAGCACAUCUGACAAAGUAAAAGUUGUCUGUUUACGCUUUCGAGUUUUACUAGUCAUACCU